GAAGAUAUCUAAUUUGAAUAUAAAAGGCACUAGCUGUGUCUCUUCGCUUCUCAUCGGGUCUCCAAUCUCAUCGCGCUUCCAAAACAGCAAUGGAGAAUCACCCCUCAAAUGGAAGAUGAAAGGCAAUAGAAAAAGAGCCGAUCAAAGGGCGUGACAUAGCAAACCAGUUAAUUGAAGAAGAAGUGUUUGUUCAUAAAUCCGACACUAUUCAUGAUGGAAACGUAGAAGGGUCGUCAAUGCUUACCAUUUGUUAAAGAUCUUAGCCUCAUCAGGAUACACAUGAGGCUUGCAAGAGUUUCUUGUUCCACGCUAAAAAACGAAGAGGGUGCUACAAGAGAAAGUAAGAAUUCUAGGUCUGGUCUUUGGUAUAUAGCAAAUUAUGUGUGAGAUUGUUGUUGAUUAGUUGUCAUAUUUGAAUCCUUUUUAUGUUUGACAAUAGUAUUUGUGUCAUGAAAGAUCAAUUAAAGAUGGUAUUUUCCCAAUCAAAUUGGAGGACCAUUUUUUUCCGUCAUGAUGCAGAAGCUAAUGAUAUGUAUUUUUCCCUCUUUUAAGAAAUGAUAGAUCAAAGUUCAUUGUCGAUAAUCUCAAUGAUUAGGGAUAUUCUUUUUAUUACUGCAUUUUCUGACAAUUUAAUUCUAGGUUAAUAUAUAUUUUGUCGCUUUAAUUUUUAUAGCUAUUUAAUCGCUCAAUUAUUCUAAUCUAGUCGUCUGCACGUGGGUUUAAUUUUGCAAAUAAAUUUCAAAGCUUUUCCCUUCAAACAUAUAUUGUGAGGAAUUGAAAAUAUUCCCUAGACACUAUUUUUUUUUAAAAAAAAUCCCUGGAUAAUUAUAGGCAAAAGAUUUAUGCUAUUUCUCCCCGUAUAAUCAAUUAACCAAAUAACCAAAAUCUUUAAAUAAUUAGUCAAUUAAUUUCGUUGCAGCUUUAAUAGCGUAUUGGCUAGGGCAGACAGAUUGAUAAACCAUGAUUACAGUCACUGGAUUAAUUGU
rnacentral:lncRNA from 1 species